GAAGCUCCAAGAGGUUGUUUCUGACAGCUUGACCACCUCUCACUCUCACAAGUUGGCUGCCUUGUCAUUGGCAGAGUCCUCAAGCAGAUCCAGCUGCCCAGACAGAGCUGGCUCGUGCUUGGAAACGUGGCAGGCAGCCAGAGCAGCAGAGAGACCUGCUGGCUUUUCCCUACACAAUCCCUUAACAAGGAAUCCUGAUGUUCCUGGGCACAGUUUUCUUUCCCUGGGUACCUCACACCUUCGGGCAGCUGCUUUGAUACCUCUGAGACUCCCCUCAGCACAGAAACAAACAAGUUUUUUUGUUUCUUUCUCUGUAAGGAUGAGCAUGCAAGAAAACCCCUUGUUAAACAGGAAUUUCUUUGCACCAGAGAGGCAACUCCAGCCCACUCUAACCAGGCAGAGAGGAUCCUUGUUGGGAGAUCAGUUUGCUCCUCCAGGAGCAUCAUGUUCCCCUUGGCCAGCUAAAUCUUCCCUCUACAAGGCCUGAAGAGUCCAAGGUAAGAAAUGUCGUGUGUGGUUUCACAUGGUUUAUUAAACCUGCAAAGAGGUUUGUCCUGGCAAAGGAGCAUCGUGGUGCUAUUAUAAAGCAGAAUGGCACCAGGGCAUCAUCUCCAGCUAAUUGUUUCAUCAACUUGGAGAGCAACAGCUGCUUGCUAAAUAAGGCUCUUCUUUUCUGCUUUGCAAUUGUGCUCUUCUGGCUGCCAAGAAAAGCUCUGACAUUAAAGGCUUCUCAGGGCCUCUACAAGUGUUGCCUUUGGUUUUAGUCCAGAAAGGCAAAAAGCAAAACCAAGG
rnacentral:lncRNA from 1 species